UACGGGGGGGGCAAGCGUUGUUCGGAAUUACUGGGCGUAAAGGGCUUGUAGGUGGCCAACUAAGUCAGACGUGAAAUCCCCAGGCUCAACCUGGGAACUGCGUCUGAUACUGGAUGGCUUGAAUCCGGGAGAGGGAUGCAGAAUUCCAGGUGUAGCGGUGAAAUGCGUAGAUAUCUGGAGGAAUACCGGUGGCGAAGGCGGCAUCCUGGACCGGCAUUGACGCUGAGGAGCGAAAGCCAGGGGAGCAAACGGG
rnacentral:rRNA from 1 species